AGGACGUUACGGACGACAGACGUAUCUAAGAAAUAUUCUAAUUCGUCGUGAUCCCGAUGACGAAGGUGCUCGUACCAAAGGUUUCGGUAUGAGGGUUAUGGGAGGAAAAAACGGUGACGAUGGACGACUUUACGCACAGAUUUCGUGGAUAGUUCCUGGAAGCGCUGUAGAGAAACAUGGCUUAAAACCGGGUGAUAAAAUAAUUAAAUGGAAUACGGAAUGCUUAACGGAUAAGACUUAUGAAGAAGUAUCAUCCAUUAUGGAACGAUCUAGUGAUGUGGUUGAAUUAUUGGUUGAGGUUUCAGGAAGAACGUAUGUAUAUAAAUUUUAUUAUAUAAUAACGUAACUCAAUUUAAUCUCUACUCUUAUCAAAUAGGCUGAGGAAAAGAGGAAAUACGUCUAUAUUCUCCUGUUAUACAGUAUGUAUAUGUGACCCUACUGUAUUGAAUAUAUUAAAGUGAGAGAUUAGUUUACAAUGAUACCCAUUGUAGUAUAGUGGUUCUUAGUUUUAUCUAUUAUAGUGCUUGACCCACAAAGAGCUAGAAUACAUAAUAGAUGAAGAAUGACGUCUCGAUCCAACUAAUUAAGUUGACAGACGGAUGGGUUAGAUGGUUGAGACCCGGGAUCGAAACCGGGCGAGCAACCCCAAAUAGUUUUUAAUGGCGGUCUGUCUCUGAUAUGUCACACCCCUAUGUGGGCCUGGCCAAACCCAUAAUUGACAUGAUAGAAGAGGGCGGAGAGCAAAAAAAUGAAGAUAAAGUAUAUUCAUUCUAUAUUUCAUAUUAUAUAUUUUCGACAUCGAUUUGACUUUUUUUGUUUGUUUGUAUUAAAAAAUGAUAAUUUGGUAAAAGCUGCACGCCUCCUUGCAAUAGUAUCGCGCCCCACAGAUAGGAAAACACUGGUGUAGUGUAUAUACAGUCAGGGGUUGAAAAGUUUUAUGCUGACUCAAUAUUUAGACAAAUAUUUCUGUUGUCAGCAGAAAAUAGAAAUAUCUAAGGACAUAAGACUGGUUGAAGAAAAACUGCAAAAGACUAGUAAGCAUACACAAUUCAUCUUUCGUCGUUGCUUGCUUAUGCCAUUGCUCGAUCCUUUAAACUGUAGUUGUAGUACAUAAACAAAGAAGCCCCCGAAUCAUUAACUGAAAGAGAAACAAACACGAACAAGGACAGUAUAUAGGAAAAGUGUACAGGUCUAUUGGUUUUUAAGUUAAUAAAAACAGAUCUCAAUGCAGUGUCUGUUGCAUCGCUAAGUUAGAAGCAAAUAAGUCACGAAAUAAUAUCUAUUUUGUACGUACGCUUGUACUUAUCAAACCAAUAUUUAUAUCUAUAUCAAAAAUCAAUAUUUGAAAUACAGGUAAUUUUAAAUAUUGACUUUUAAUACAGAAUUCUAAAAUUCCAAUAUCAAUUCCUUAGUAGCAACAUCAUUCAUCUAUCCUUUUUCUUAAUGCCUAGUGUUUUUAUGAUACAUAAUUUGUCUCCCUUUGCUUAAAAACGUAGGAAAAUAUUUUAUCUGUAAUUUUAAUAGUUAUACAACGCGAUAAAAAUAUUAAUUUUCUCAAAUAUU
rnacentral:lncRNA from 1 species